rnacentral:rRNA from 1 species
AUUGAACGCUGGCGGCAUGCCUUACACAUGCAAGUCGAACGGCAGCAUGGGUGCUUGCACCUGAUGGCGAGUGGCGAACGGGUGAGUAAUGCAUCGGAACGUACCCGGAAGUGGGGGAUAACGUAGCGAAAGUUACGCUAAUACCGCAUAUUCUGUGAGCAGGAAAGCGGGGGAUCGCAAGACCUUGCGCUUCCGGAGCGGCCGAUGUCGGAUUAGCUAGUUGGCGGGGUAAAGGCCCACCAAGGCAACGAUCCGUAGCGGGUCUGAGAGGAUGAUCCGCCACACUGGGACUGAGACACGGCCCAGACUCCUACGGGAGGCAGCAGUGGGGAAUUUUGGACAAUGGGGGCAACCCUGAUCCAGCCAUGCCGCGUGAGUGAAGAAGGC